rnacentral:rRNA from 1 species
AACGAACGCUGGCGGCAGGCCUAACACAUGCAAGUCGAGCGCGAAAGUACCUUCGGGUACAAGUAGAGCGGCGCACGGGUGAGUAACACGUGAAUAAUCUGCCUCUUGGACUGGAAUAGCGGCUGGAAACGGCCGGUAAUGCCGGAUAAGCCUACGAACCGUCGGGUUAGUAGGAAAAGUCUUCGGGCGCCAAGAGAUGAGUUCGCGGCCCAUUAGGUAGUUGGUGAGGUAACGGCUCACCAAGCCGACGAUGGGUAGCUGGUUUGAGAGAACGAUCAGCCACACUGGAACUGAGACACGGUCCAGACUCCUACGGGAGGCAGCAGUGGGGAAUCUUGCGCAAUGGGCGAAAGCCUGACGCAGCCAUGCCGCGUGAGCGACGAAGGCCUUCGGGUUGUAAAGCUCUGUCUAAGGGGACGAACACAAUGACGGUACCCUUAAAGAAAGCACCGGCUAACUCCG